UUCUACAUGGAAGGUAAAUGCUCAUGCAUGUAAACUAAGAACUGAUGGGCUCUGUGUUUCAUAAAUAGGUUUUAUCUAGCUUAAGUCUUCCCAGUUCACUGUUCAUCUCUCUUUUUACUUUACCCUUCUUUGCACAUGUUGAAUUGAAAGGGUCAAAAACAGAAACAGGCAGAGUUAACUGUGUGUGACAAGCUACUUUAUAACCUAUUUCAUGUCUGCCCUAGCACAGAGCGAGAGUUAGUAAACGAGCAUACUUACUCGCAAAAACAGGAAUAAGUGAAAGACAUCCCAGUAGUGAACAAGGCAAUGCAUGGUGCACAUCUGAAUCCCCAGCUGCUGACCAUUAAGCACCAUCUAAGUACAUAAACAUGAAACAGGAUAUAAAUUGUGGAGUCAUUGUGGCAUGGUAGCAGACAUUCUAGAGAUGCAGUGCAGUCCACUCGACCUUCCAAUGCUUAGCAGAAUUUGCCAAAAAUGAAAGAAGCAUUAAAUCUGCAUGUUUUGAGUUUGCUGUAAUUUGACAUUAAUAUGUUCAUUUUUCUGUUAAACAUUUACACACAUCCAAUUAUUUGUAUAAAAUGUUUACCUAAUUUCCUGGAUUUAACAUCUCUAGUUAUCAUAUAAUGGCAUAAGUCAGGGAAGUAAAAGUAAAAUAAUUUAGAAUGAUGUCUGACAUAGUUGAAUAGCCAACAAACUAGAGCAACUCAGUUUAGAUGGAAGGGAAGAAUCUCACAAAUAACUAGAUAAAUGUUCUUAUGUAAAUGUACAAUGGACAGAGUAGUGCAUUGAAGUGUGAGCUUUAUUAAGAGGCCAAA